rnacentral:rRNA from 1 species
GACAGAGGGGGCAAGCGUUGUCCGGAUUUACUGGGCGUAAAGAGCGCGCAGGCGGUCGUUCAAGUCGCGUGUGAAAGCCCCCGGCUCAACUGGGGAGGGUCACGCGAUACUGAUCGACUCGAAGGCAGGAGAGGGUAGUGGAAUUCCCGGUGUAGUGGUGAAAUGCGUAGAUAUCGGGAGGAACACCAGUGGCGAAGGCGACUACCUGGCCUGUUCUUGACGCUGAGGCGCGAAAGCUAGGGGAGCAAACGGG